rnacentral:rRNA from 1 species
AGAGUUUGAUCCUGGCUCAGGAUGAACGCUAGCGGCAGGCUUAACACAUGCAAGUCGAGGGGCAGCGAGGGUAGCAAUACCUGUCGGCGACCGGGACCGGCGCACGGGUGCGUAACGCGUAUGUAAUCUACCAUUAACCGGGGAAUAGCCCAGAGAAAUCUGGAUUAAUGCCCCAUAGUAUUAUCGAAAGGCAUCUUUUGAUAAUUAAAGCUCAGGCGGUUUUAGAUGGGCAUGCGCGUCAUUAGUUUGUUGGUGAGGUAACGGCUCACCAAGACUACGAUGACUAGGGGGUCUGAGAGGAUGAUCCCCCACACUGGUACUGAGACACGGACCAGACUCCUACGGGAGGCAGCAGUAAGGAAUAUUGGGCAAUGGAGGCAACUCUGAACCAGCCAUCCCGCGUGCAGGAUGACGGCCCUAUGGGUUGUAAACUGCUUUUAUACACCAAGAAAAAUCCCCACGUGUGGGUGCCCGACGGUACCCAAGGAGGAAGCAUCGGCUAACUCCGUGCCAGCAGCCGCGGUAAUACGGAGGAUGCAAGCGUUAUCCGGAUUCAUUGGGUUUAAAGGGUGCGUAGGCGGCUUUUUAAGUCAGUGGUGAAAUCCUGCCGCUUAACGGUAGAAUUGCCAUUGAUACUGUUUUUCUUGAGUACAUUUGAGGUAAGCGGAAUGUGUAGUGUAGCGGUGAAAUGCUUAGAUAUUACACAGAACACCAAUUGCGAAGGCAGCUUACUAAACUGAUACUGACGCUGAUGCACGAAAGCGUGGGGAGCGAACAGGAUUAGAUACCCUGGUAGUCCACGCCGUAAACGAUGCUCACUCGCUGUUUGCGAUACACAGCAAGCGGCCAAGCGAAAGCAUUAAGUGAGCCACCUGGGGAGUACGAUCGCAAGGUUGAAACUCAAAGGAAUUGACGGGGGCCCGCACAAGCGGAGGAACAUGUGGUUUAAUUCGAUGAUACGCGAGGAACCUUACCUGGGCUUAAAUGCAGAAUGACUUUUCUGGAAACAGAUUUUCUCUUCGGAGCAGACUGCAAGGUGCUGCAUGGUUGUCGUCAGCUCGUGCCGUGAGGUGUCGGGUUAAGUCCCAUAACGAGCGCAACCCUUAUCGUUAGUUGCCAGCGGGUAAUGCCGGGGACUCUAAUGAAACUGCCGGUGUAAACCGUGAGGAAGGUGGGGAUGACGUCAAAUCAGCACGGCCCUUAUGUCCAGGGCUACACACGUGUUACAAUGGUCGGUACAGAGGGCAGCUACCCCGCGAGGGGAUGCAAAUCUCGAAAGCCGGUCUUAGUUCGGAUUGGAGUCUGCAACUCGACUCCAUGAAGCUGGAAUCGCUAGUAAUCGCGCAUCAGCCACGGCGCGGUGAAUACGUUCCCGGGCCUUGUACACACCGCCCGUCAAGCCAUGGAAGCUGGGGGUACCUGAAGUCUGUAACCGCAAGGAGCGGCCUAGGGUAAAACUAGUAACUGGGGCUAAGUCGUAACAAGGUAACC